UACGUAGGGGGCAAGCGUUGUCCGGAUUUAUUGGGCGUAAAGCGCUCGCAGGUGGUCCGCUGCGUCGUGCGUGAAAGACCCCGGCUCAACUGGGGAGUGUCGUGCGAUACGGGCGGACUGGAGGCCAGUAGGGGGAUGCGGAAUUCCGGGUGUAGUGGUGGAAUGCGUAGAGAUCGGGAGGAAGGCCGGUGGCGAAGGCGGCGCUCUGGAACGUUACUGACGCUGAGACACGAAAGCGUGGGGAGCAAACAGG
rnacentral:rRNA from 1 species